rnacentral:rRNA from 1 species
CAUAAUGUCAUUUAUUUGAUGUUGUGGGGAAUUAGGACUGUUACCUUGAAAAAAUUAGAGUGUUUAAAGCAGGCUAACGCUUGAAUACAUUAGCAUGGAAUAAUGAAAUAGGACACCGCAUUCUAUUUUGUUGGUUUCUAGGAUCGAUGUAAUGAUUAAUAGGGAUAGUUGGGGGCAUUAGUAUUCAAUUGUCAGAGGUGAAAUUCUUGGAUUUAUUGAAGACUAACUACUGCGAAAGCAUUUGCCAAGGAUGUUUUCAUUAAUCAAGAACGAAAGUUAGGGGAUCUAAGACGAUCAGAUACCGUCGUAGUCUUAACCAUAAACUAUGCCGACUAGGGAUCGGAUGAUGUUGAUUUUUUAAUGACUCAUUCGGCACCUUACGGGAAACCAAAGUGUUUGGGUUCCGGGGGGAGUAUGGUCGCAAGGCUGAAACUUAAAGGAAUUGACGGAAGGGCACCACCAGGGGUGGAGCCUGCG